CUCCAUGAGCACUUUCCUUGGGAUCUCUAAUCAAUAGAAUCCUUUUCACUGGAAAUGGAUAUUUAGGUCUUUUUAUCGCCGGUAUUGGUUGACCCUUUUUACAAUUAAUGAAAGAACAAAAAAGAAUACAAUCAAAUUGAGUUAAUCAAAAGUAAUCAAUUGAUUAACAAUUAACAACAAAACAUUCACAUGAAGGAAAUUAAAUGAAAAUGGACAAGCAAGUGGAGGGAAAAAAACAGUUACCAUGGAAACGAAGACAAAGAAAAAAAUUUUCUUUAAUCAAUUUGAUCAAUUUAAUUCAUUUUUCUUUUUUAAUUUCUAAUUGAUUUUAAUCUAUUCUUUUUUGCAGUUAAUUAAAUUUUCCAUUAGCUAAUUGUUCUGAUGUGAUUUAGAAGUUUCAACUUUUCAAUUGACUUUCUUUUCUUGGAUUUGGAUUGACCUUGUUGGUUCAUUUUUUUCUACUUGUUUGUUUUUCUAUUGUUCCGAUUUUCAGUGAUUUAAAUUGAUUAAAUCAUUGGGAGAAUUUAUUAAUUUUUUUUUCUCUUCGAAAGUGGUAAGGUAACACUUAUUAAGGGAAUCAAGUGGAUGUUUAAUUGGUUGCGGUGGUGGAACCAAAAUGGAUUAGGAUUAACGUUGUUUCCGUUGGUUAGUAACAACCUUAUGAGUAAUUUGGUUUCUUCUUAUCCAAUUGGUUGGACAGAAGAUGUUCCCAGGCGAUUAAGCAAAACAAUCAAGGCAAUUUUUUAAUUUCUACUUUAUAAUUAAUUCGUACGUCUUGCUUACUUGGGACGGCUGAUUGUGAUUGGCAACAUUAAGCCCAGAAUAAUUGGCUUGGUAAUCAUUUGUCGCCGGUCGGUUGAUUCCGUUUCCUCCUUGAUUAGCUGUUUGGAUAUUGGAUAAUUUUAAUACAUGGAAAGAGACAAAGAGAAGAGUUUUUUUUCCCAAUGGAAAAAAUUGUUUUUGGAUAACAAUCAAUAGAAAAAGAUUCUAUUAACAUCAAGUUAAACAUUUACAAUCCGCAACAAUAUAAUCACCAGGAAGGAAAUGAAGAAAGGAACCAAAAUUGGCUGAUUCUCUUUUUUGAAACUGUUGAUUGAAUUUCUACAGCAAUAAUUAGAAUAUUCUGAAUUCAACAAAAAAUUAACCAUUAGGAUGGACAAAGAGUAAAAUGUUUAAUUGUAUCAACAUCGAGCUAAUUGUGUUGGGAGAAAAAUUUUGUGGCAGUUUUUGAAAUCUCUCAGUGAUUGGGUUUUCUUUGAAGUGGAAAUUUUGUCUUUUUAAAUACAAUUUGAUGGAUUAAUUUUAUACUAAAAGCAUUAAUACAAUUAAUUGCAUUUUCAGAGGUUAUCCCCAAUCAUCAACGCAACAAUUUGUCAACCUUUUUUGAUCGAUUCUGAUAGAUUCCUGUUAAGAAAGAAGAGGAUAAAAGAAAAGGAAGAAGAAAAGAAAAGAGAAAACAAAUUGGAAACAAAAGGAUAAAUGCAAAUGGAAGAGAAGAAAAAGAAGAACAAAAAUAAAUCGAAUUUGGAAAGAAAAAUUAAGCAAAUCAAAAGAGACUGUUCAAUCUUAAUUGUAGUUUAAAAUGAGAGAGAAUGUAACAUCCAGGAAAAGAAGGUUUAAUCAAGACAAAGGAUUGGAAAUCGGUUAAUUGCUUGUGUGAUUACAAUCAAUGGUUAACAUGCAAAGUGUUGUCACAAUUAAAGUCUAAUUGUUGUGCAAGGGAAAAAGCAACAGCAGAAGCAGUUAAUGAUUAAUUUAAUCUCUCAAUCAUAUUGGAUAAGUGACAAAUUGCAUGUUGAUAAUUAAUUAUCUUAGUGUACAAUUAACAAGGUGCAUAAUUAUAAUUAAAUGUCUGUGCAAGAAAAUAAUGUGAACAUGACAAAAGCAGAAUUAACCUGAACAUGGAACAAUUAAAUAUCCAUCAGAAUCGGAAGUUAAUGGAUCCAAAUUGCAAUAUCGACAAUCAACCAAAUUGGAUCAUUAAUGUUACUCAAUUAUUAGCAAGCAAAAAAAUUCCCUGAUUGAUGAAUAUCUAUUUUCUUUAUUUGGAAAACUUAUCUUCCUUAUCUUCAUCCGCCUCUUCUUUAUAUCUAUAAAUUGUGAUUCUACUUAAUUAUCUAGAUUUCUAAUGUCAAAGAAAUGAUAUUAAUAGAGAAGAGAACGAAAAUCUCUCCUUAUUUUCCCUUCUAAUUCCCUAGAAAAGAUCAAAACUCUUGGAUUUGACUAUUGGCCUUUGAUUCCGUCUUCUUAUACACUUCACCUCUAAAUCUAUCCUCUAAUGGUCAAUUUUGAUGACUUUGAUGACUUUGAUGACGAUGAUGAUGAUUGGCGAUCCAUCGAAGAAAAAAAUUACGAUUUUUUGUUUGGGUUUUCUUAUUACCGUUAUAAUGGCUCAUAAAGCGCAAGAAUCAAGAAAUCAUUUGGAAAUUAAUCAGCAAAACAAAGCAGAUUUACAUGAUAAGUGAAUCUAAAUUGUGUGUAUAUGUGUGUGCGUUGAUUUAAUAGUUAAUUACAUCAGUCAUUCUAUGAAAUUGACCAUCAUCAAUUAUAUCCUGAUCAUUUAUUCACUAACAUCAACAUUUUGAUUAUUCCUCUCAUCUAAUCAACCAUAAUCUUGAAUCGUUUAUUUUUUUCCCUUUACUUUUCCACCAUUGAAAGGUCAAGUUAAUUAAUUAACAACAAUCAAUAUACUUGAAAUUGACUGAUGAUGUUAGCACAAUCAACUACCACUAACAACAAUUUCACAUCACCAUGAUUGAUGACAAUUAAGAUUAGAAUGACUGAUUUAAUAGCAAGAGUAUGAAACAAAAAAUUAAGAUAAUCUUAAACUGUAAUUAAGGGAAUACAAUUUAUUAUGAUGAGCAUUGUUUCAAUCUAAUUGCUUCAAUUUUAACCCUUAAUUACAAUAUUAUGAUUACCUGAUUGAUUUUGUAUUGUGCUGGUUAGAAAAUGUUUAUCUAAAUAGUACAUGGCCUGGUAAUGAAUUUAAAAGCCUCGAUCAUUUAUCAACAAUCAAUGUCAACCGAUAAUCAAUCAAGAAUCAAAGUGAAUACAAAAGUAACAAAAAACCCAAAAACUAACCAUUAACAUGAAACAUGAUAAAUCAACAAUCCAUCAGAGUAUUUGAUUUCAUCCUAUUGUCAGAAUUGAAUGGUUAUCAUGAAAAUGAACAUGAGAAAAUUUAUCCACUAAGUAAUUUGAAAUGUUAAUCAACUAAAUUGAUUAUCAUCUCAUUGAAAGUAAUUGUUGAAAACUUUUCCCCAAACUGAUUGAUUAUUAUUCAACAUUGAACAUUAUUUUGACUUCUAAAUGAUUAUCGGUCAACUCGAUUAACCUUAUCGCUUAUAAUUUAAUAUCUCAUUGAUUUAGAAAUUAGUUUAUUGAUAGUCUCUAAUUGUUAUUA